AUGUGUGCACACCAUGUAUCGCACGUCCAUCCAUUCCUCUUUCUCCUUACAAUGUCUACUCCCGCCGGGCAUACCCCUCGCACAUCCGGCAAAUCUACGAAGUCAUCGACGACGUCCAAGCCAAGCCCAAACAUGCAUGCUACUUCAACAACCACAUCAACGCCGCUCAAGGCCGACGAGGCAAGACGGCGCAGGCGGGCGUGGCCGGAGCAAAGGCCACGUUUUCGACGGGCGCGUAUACCACUCUGUACACGGACUCUGCCGCCGCCACACACACACACCACCACCAUGCAUGAGGAACGCGAAGCGAAGACCGAAGACGACGACUGCGCAGCUUAA
rnacentral:rRNA from 1 species